AGAGUUUGAUCCUGGCUCAGAACGAACGCUGGCGGCAGGCUUAACACAUGCAAGUCGAACGCUCGUAGCAAUACGGGAGUGGCAGACGGGUGAGUAACGCGUGGGAACAUACCCUCCGGUUCGGAAUAGCUCAGGGAAACUUGGAUUAAUACCGGAUACGGCUGAGAGGCGAAAGAUUUAUCGCCGGAGGAUUGGCCCGCGUUCGAUUAGCUUGUUGGUGAGGUAACGGCUCACCAAGGCGAUGAUCGAUAGCUGGUCUGAGAGGAUGAUCAGCCACAUUGGGACUGAGACACGGCCCAAACUCCUACGGGAGGCAGCAGUGGGGAAUAUUGGACAAUGGGCGCAAGCCUGAUCCAGCCAUGCCGCGUGAGUGAUGACGGCCUUAGGGUUGUAAAGCUCUUUCGCUCGGGACGAUAAUGACGGUACCGAGAUAAGAAGCCCCGGCUAACUUCGUGCCAGCAGCCGCGGUAAUACGAAGGGGGCUAGCGUUGUUCGGAAUUACUGGGCGUAAAGCGCGUGUAGGCGGGUCUUUAAGUCAGGGGUGAAAUGCCAAGGCUCAACCUUGGAACUGCCUUUGAUACUGGAGAUCUUGAGUCCGGGAGAGGUGAGUGGAAUUGCGAGUGUAGAGGUGAAAUUCGUAGAUAUUCGCAAGAACACCAGUGGCGAAGGCGGCUCACUGGCCCGGAACUGACGCUGAGACGCGAAAGCGUGGGGAGCAAACAGGAUUAGAUACCCUGGUAGUCCACGCUGUAAACGAUGGAUGCUAGCCGUUGGGGAGCUUGCUCUUCAGUGGCGCAGCUAACGCUUUAAGCAUCCCGCCUGGGGAGUACGGUCGCAAGAUUAAAACUUAAAGGAAUUGA
rnacentral:rRNA from 2 species